rnacentral:misc_RNA from 1 species
AACCAUAGAAACCUGCGGAGUACCUGCGGAGGGAUCAUUAUAGUAUAUGGAAUCUCCAUUCUACAAACCCACUCUGCGUAUCUUGUAACUGUUGCUUCCAUGGGACUUGGUUCCGCCACACCGGCUUCACGGCUGGUGAGCGCCCAUGGAAGGAGAAACAAAACUCUUCUUUGAAAUGUAGUCAGUCUGAACAAGUUUUUAUAAACGUUAAAACUUUUAACAAUGGAUCUCAGAUCGGAA